UACGAGGGGGGCGAGCGUUGUUCGGAAUUAUUGGGCGUAAAGGGUGCGUAGGCGGUUUGGUAAGUCUGAUGUGAAAUCUAUGGGCUCAACUCAUAGUCUGCAUCGGAAACUGCCGGGCUUGAGUGUGGGAGAGGUGAGUGGAAUUCCUGGUGUAGCGGUGAAAUGCGUAGAUAUCAGGAGGAACACCUGUGGCGAAAGCGGCUCACUGGACCAUAACUGACGCUGAUGCACGAAAGCUAAGGGAGCAAACAGG
rnacentral:rRNA from 1 species